rnacentral:lncRNA from 1 species
UAUUUUUGUUCUUUUCUUUCACAUCAUAUUUACAAAACAGAUGUUUCUUUUCUAUAUUUUUAUUUUCAAUGCUUGCUCGGUUUUUCUUUUAUUUUUUUCAAGAGUUGUGGUACUUACCGAUUCUCCCCAACUUAUUUCUUACUCACCCUAAGUGAAUGCUCUUAACUUUUUACGGCAAAAGAACAAUAAUCAAGAUUUUCCGGGUUGUAAAAAAAAGAUUUUUGAAAUCUCGCUUUAUUUCAAGCUGAGAUUCAACUGUUUAAGCUCAAAGGGGUUAACAAAU